rnacentral:rRNA from 1 species
UGGGGAAUAUUGCACAAUGGGCGCAAGCCUGAUGCAGCCAUGCCUCGUGUGUGAAGAAGGCCUUCGGGUUGUAAAGCACUUUCAGCGGGGAGGAAGGCGUUAAGGUUAAUAACCUUGGCUUUUGACGUUACCCGCAUAAGAAGCACCGGCUAACUCCGUGCCAGCAGCCGCGGUAAUACGGAGGGUGCAAGCGUUAAUCGGAAUUACUGGGCGUAAAGCGCACGCAGGCGGUCUGUCAAGUCGGAUGUGAAAUCCCCGGGCUCAACCUGGGAACUGCAUACGGAACUGGCAGGCUAGAGUCUUGUAGACGGGGGUAGAAUUCCAGGUGUAGCGGUGAAAUGCGUAGAGGUCUGGAGGAAGAAGGGUAGCGGAGGCGGCCCCCUGGACAAAGACUGACGAUCAGGUGCGAAAGCGUGGGGAGCAAACAGG